rnacentral:rRNA from 1 species
GAUGAACGCUAGCUAUAGGCUUAACACAUGCAAGUCGAGGGGCAGCGAAAUAGAUAGCUUGCUAUUAUGUCGGCGACCGGCGCACGGGUGAGUAACGCGUAUCCAACCUGCCAUAACUAAGGAUAACCCAGCGAAAGUUGGACUAAUACCUUAUGUAUCGUUUGAUCUCAUGAGAUUACGAAUAAAGAUUUAUCGGGUUAUGGGAUGGGGGAUGCGGUCUGGAUUAGCUUGUUGCGGGUAACGGCCCACCAAGGCAACGAUCAGUAGGGGUUCUGAGAGGAAGGUCCCCCACAUUGGAACUGAGACACGGUCCAAACUCCUACGGGAGGCAGCAGUGAGGAAUAUUGGUCAAUGGACGCAAGUCUGAACCAGCCAAGUAGCGUGCAGGAUGACGGCCCUAUGGGUUGUAAACUGCUUUUAUAUGGGGGAUAAAGUGGGGGAACGUGUUCCCUUUUGCAGGUACCAUAUGAAUAAGGGACCGGGCUAAUUCCGUGCCCAGCAGCCGCGGGUAAAUA